GACGAACGCUGGCGGCGUGCCUAAUACAUGCAAGUAGGACGCAGUUGCGAACGGGUGAGUACCGCGUAGGUAACUGCCUAUUAGAGUGGGAUAACUAUUGGAAACGAUAGCUAAUACCGCAUACUAGUAGAUGGACCUGCGUUGUAUUAUCCAGUAGGUAGGGUAAUGGACUACCUAGGCAACGAUACAUUGCCGAACUGUGAGGGUGAUCGGCCACACUGGGGCUGGGACACGGGCCAGACUCCUACGGGAGGCAGCAGUAGGGAAUCUUCGGAAAUGGGGGGAACCCUGACCGAGCAACGCCGCGUGAGUGAAGAAGGGUUUCGGAUCGUAAAGCUCUGUUGUUAAGGAAGCGGUACUUAACCAGAAAGGGACGGCUAACUACGUGCCAGCAGCCGCGGUAAUAC
rnacentral:rRNA from 1 species